UAGCCGUAAACGAUACUCGCUAGGUGUCGGCCACGGUGCGACCGUUGUCGGUGCCGUAGGGAAGCCGUGAAGCGAGCCACCUGGGAAAUACGGCCGCAAGGCUGAAACUUAAAGGAAUUGGCGGGGGAGCACAACAACGGGUGGAGCUUGCGGUUUAAUUGGAUUCAACGCCGGAAAUCUUACCGGGACCGACAGCAACAUGAAGGCCAAGCUGAAGACUUUGCCGGAUUAGCUGAGAGGUGGUGCAUGGCGUAGUCGUGU
rnacentral:rRNA from 1 species